GACGAACGCUGGCGGCGUGCCUAAUACAUGCAAGUCGAGCGAAGUUUUUCUGGUGCUUGCACUAGAAAAACUUAGCGGCGAACGGGUGAGUAACACGUAAAGAACCUGCCUCAUAGACUGGGACAACUAUUGGAAACGAUAGCUAAUACCGGAUAACAGUAUUUCUCGCAUGAGAGAUAUUUAAAAGUUGGUUAUGCUAACACUAUGAGAUGGCUUUGCGGUGCAUUAGCUAGUUGGUGGGGUAAAGGCCCACCAAGGCGACGAUGCAUAGCCGACCUGAGAGGGUGAUCGGCCACACUGGGCACUGAGACACGGCCCAGACUCCUACGGGAGGCAGCAGUAGGGAAUCUUCCGCAAUGGGCGAAAGCCUGACGGAGCAACGCCGCGUGAGUGAAGAAGGAUUUCGGUUCGUAAAGCUCUGUUGUUAGGGAAGAAUGGAUAUGUAGUAACUAUACAUAUAAGAGACUU
rnacentral:rRNA from 1 species